AUUGAACGCUGGCGGAAUGCUUACACAUGCAAGUCGAACGGCAGCACGGGGCAACCUGGUGGCGAGUGGCGAACGGGUGAGUAAUACAUCGGAACGUGCCCAAUCGUGGGGGAUAACGUAGCGAAAGUUACGCUAAUACCGCAUACGAUCUACGGAUGAAAGCGGGGGAUCGCAAGACCUCGCGCGAGUGGAGCGGCCGAUGUCAGAUUAGGUAGUUGGUGGGGUAAAGGCUCACCAAGCCAACGAUCUGUAGCUGGUCUGAGAGGACGACCAGCCACACUGGAACUGAGACACGGUCCAGACUCCUACGGGAGGCAGCAGUGGGGAAUUUUGGACAAUGGGCGCAAGCCUGAUCCAGCCAUUCCGCGUGCAGGAUGAAGGCCUUCGGGUUGUAAACUGCUUUUGUACGGAACGAAACGGCGAGCUCUAAUACAGUUUGCUAAUGACGGUACCGUAAGAAUAAGCACCGGCUAACUACGUG
rnacentral:rRNA from 1 species